rnacentral:rRNA from 1 species
ACGCUCGACACCUAUGGGAGGCAGCAGUGGGGAAUAUUGCACAAUGGGGAAACCCUGAUGCAGCGACGCCGCGUGGAGGAAGAAGGUCUUCGGAUUGUAAACUCCUGUUGUUGGGGAAAAAGNGGAUGGUACCCAACAAGGAAGUGACGGCUAACUACGUGCCGGCAGCCGCGGUAAUCUGAGCGGCUGGCAAGGC